UUUUGAGGGAGAUGGGGCGAUCUUCCGCAUAGCUAGGAUCGAGGAUCUUGCCGUGGAGUCAACUUUUUGUAAAUCGAGGAGAUUUUGUUUGCUUUAGCCCUAAACCCUAGGUGACGUUCUUUUAUCUUUCCACUGAUCUGGGAUUAAUUAGAACCAGAGUCAGGAUUCUUUCGCUGGGCGCUGUGUACGUUUGGAUGGGCAACUCACCCCGAACCUCUUAUCCAAACAUACAUGACCUUCUAUGGUUCAAAACACGGACCAGAGAGGAUUCGAACUCAUUAAAGCUAGGGAAUUUUUGAUCUCCAUGAACAUGUUUAAUUAUGCUGCAUUGGAAUAUUUUAAUCUUAA
rnacentral:lncRNA from 1 species